rnacentral:rRNA from 1 species
GACGAACGCUGGCGGCGUGCUUAACACAUGCAAGUCGAACGCUGAAGCUCAGCUUUUGUUGGGUGGAUGAGUGGCGAACGGGUGAGUAACACGUGAGUAACCUGCCCUCUUCUUUGGGAUAACGCCCGGAAACGGGUGCUAAUACACGAUAUACACUGAUCUUCGCCUGGGGGUUGGUGGAAAGGUUUGUUCUGGUGGGGGAUGGGCUCGCGGCCUAUCAGCUUGUUGGUGGGGUGAUGGCCUACCAAGGCUUUGACGGGUAGCCGGCCUGAGAGGGUGACCGGUCACAUUGGGACUGACAUACGGCCAAGACUCCUACCGGAAGCGGAAGUGGGGAAAAUUGCACAAUGGGCGAAAGGCUGAUGCAGCGAAGCGGCGUGAGGGAUGGAGGCCUUCGGGUUGUAAACCUCUUUCGCUCAUGGUCAAGCCGCGACGGGGGUUGUGGUGAGGGUAGUGGGUAAAGAAGCGCCGGCUAACUACGUG